GUGGGAAUUUUUACUGUGCUUUUGCUUCUAGGAUACCAAGAGUUCGUGUUCUGGAAGAUGAAGAGGGGUCAAAGGACAUUGAACUGAGCGAUGACCCUUAUGACUGCAUCCAGCUAAAUGUGGAGAAUGUCCCCUGUAUUGUCACCCUAUGCAAGAUCGGCUAUCGGCACGUGGUGGAUGCUACUCUUCAGGAGGAGGCCUGCUCCUUGGCCAGCUUGCUGGUGGCCGUGACCAGCAAGGGAGUCGUGACGUGCAUGCGGAAAGUGGGGAAGGGCAGCCUGGACCCAGAGAGCAUCUUCGAGAUGAUGGAGACUGGCAAGCGUGUGGGCAAGGUGCUGCACACCUCCCUGCAGAGUCUUCUACACAAGGAGGAAAGCCUGGGUCCCAAGAGACAGAAAGUCGGAUUCCUGGGAUGAUCCACCCUCAACGGCCAAGUGUGGGGUUUCUACUUUUCCUUUUAAGCUGACGUUUGUAUAUAUCUUUUUUAGCUAUUAUGAAUUUAAAAAAAAAAAUUUUAAAAAGUCAGGGGGAAGGAUUGAGGUCAGCCAAAAGUCAGUUAAGAGCUUGGGGAGGGUGGGCAUGGAGGGAAUGCAGUAUUAUCUAAUAUUCAAGUUAGUUUUGUUGUUUCUGUUAUUCCAAAUAAUGUAAAUUCAAGCCUGCACAACACAUGAAUUUAGAAUAUUGGCAGUAGUUUGUUUUUGCUUAGUAAAGGCAGUGAUCUCACAUUUAGCUGCUGGUCCAGCAUAAAUCUGUACUACUCAGAACUUUUUAACAGAUAACAUGCUACCAUAGAUAAACAGUAAGGAUUUACCAUAUAGUACAGGGAACUAUAUUCAGUAUUUUGUAAUAACCUAUAAUGCAAAAGAAUCUGAAGAAGAAUAUAUAUAUGUAUAUAACUGAAUCACUUUGCUGUAUAUCUGAAACUAACACAAAAUUGUAAAUCAAUUAUACUUUAAAAAAAAAAAAACAAACCCCAACUUUUUGGAAAUAAUCUGGCAGUGUGUAUUAAAAGCCUUAAAAAUUUCAUGCCCUUUGACCUAAUACUUCACUUCUGGGAAUGUAACCAAAGGGGAGUAAAAACAUAAAGUAUAAAGAGGUUCAUCCCAAUAUUACUGCUUGUGCAAGAGUGGCAGAGCCACAAAGGAGACUGGAGAUGCAUCCUUGACAGGUUUCCUUUGCCAAAGUCAGGGCUUUCCUCAGGAAGAAAGGGACUUGGACCUGGAACAAAGACAGGAU
rnacentral:lncRNA from 1 species